AGAGUUUGAUCAUGGCUCAGAACGAACGCUGGCGGCAGGCCUAACACAUGCAAGUCGAGCGCCCAGCAAUGGGGAGCGGCGCACGGGUGAGUAACACGUGGGAAUAUGCCUCGGGAUCGGGAAUAACGGCGGGAAACUGCCGCUAAUGCCCGGUACGCCUUGAGAGGGAAAGGAGCAAUCCGUCCUGAGAGUAGCCCGCGUUGGAUUAGCUAGUUGGUGGGGUAACGGCCCACCAAGGCUACGAUCCAUAGCUGGUCUGAGAGGAUGAUCAGCCACACUGGGAAUGAGACACGGCCCAGACUCCUACGGGAGGCAGCAGUGGGGAGUAUUGGACAAUGGGGGAAACCCUGAUCCAGCCAUGCCGCGUGAGUGAAGAAGGCCUUAGGGUUGUAAAGCUCUUUCGCACGCGACGAUGAUGACGGUAGCGUGAGAAGAAGCCCCGGCUAACUUCGUGCCAGCAGCCGCGGUAAUACGAAGGGGGCAAGCGUUGUUCGGAUUUACUGGGCGUAAAGGGCGCGUAGGCGGAACGACAAGUCAGAGGUGAAAGCCCUGGGCUCAACCCGGGAAUUGCCUUUGGGACUGCCGUUCUAGAGUUCGGAAGAGGAUGGCGGAAUACCCAGUGUAGAGGUGAAAUUCGUAGAUAUUGGGUAGAACACCGGUGGCGAAGGCGGCCAUCUGGUCCGACACUGACGCUGAGGCGCGAAAGCGUGGGGAGCAAAACAGGAUUAGAUACCCUGGUAGUCCACGCCGUAAACUAUGUGUGCUAGCCGUCGGAACACUUCGGUGUUUCGGUGGCGCAGCUAACGCGGUAAGCACACCCGCCCUGGGGAGUACGGCCGCAAGGUUAAAACUCAAAGGAAUUGACGGGGGCCCGCACAAGCGGUGGAGCAUGUGGUUUAAUUCGACGCAACGCGAAGAACCUUACCAGCCCUUGACAUGGGCGUCGCCGGGACCAGAGACGGUCCCUUCGGUUCGGCCGGACGCUACACAGGUGCUGCAUGGCUGUCGUCAGCUCGUGUCGUGAGAUGUUGGGUUAAGUCCCGCAACGAGCGCAACCCCUGUGUCCUGUUGCCACCCGGCCGAGAGGCUGGAGCACUCUGGACAGACUGCCUCAUUUAAAUGAGGAGGAAGGUGGGGAUGACGUCAAGUCAGUAUGGCCCUUACGGCCAGGGCUGCACACGUACUACAAUGCCCGGCACAAAGGGAAGCAAGACCGCGAGGUGGAGCAAAUCCCAUAAAACCGGGCCCAGUUCAGAUUGAAGGCUGCAACUCGCCUUCAUGAAGCUGGAAUCGCUAGUAAUGGCGCAUCAGCUACGGCGCCGUGAAUACGUUCCCAGGCCUUGUACACACCGCCCGUCACAUCAUGAAAGCCGGUUGUACCCGAAGUCGUCCCUUAAAAGACGCCGAAGGUAUGGCUGGUGAUUGGGAUGAAGUCGUAACAAGGUAGCCGUAGGGGAACCUGCGGAUGGAUCACCUCCUU
rnacentral:rRNA from 1 species